UUGAAAAGGAAAUAGUACUAAAUUCUCAGUCCCUGAUUGGCUUAUACAUGAAGAAGAAUGUAGCUAGCGGCCCACCCAUAGGGCCCACCUUCCCUUUCAAGACCAGACGUGACAUGACAAGAUGGCAGACAGUGGGCGGCUUAAUGAAGCCAUUGGACUCAUUCAUAACUUUUUGAAUACUCCAAAUGCUGUGACGUCAUUGUCAGAAAUGUUGGAUCAACGACGACAGCCAUCCACAGGGGCUAUUUCUAACGCUAACGUUGACGAUGAAAUGCGCCGGCUCUUCAGACCUGCAUCAGGUGCAUCAACGAGCGGCAACAGCACUCAGCCAGGAGCUAGUCUUAAUGCUAGCCAAGGGAUGCAACCCCGAUAUCAAACUCAGCAGUAUUUCGGUGGAUGGACUUCAAAGUCAAGGAAGAGGUCUACUACCCAGAAUCACCCUACCUUCAACAAGGGUAUUGUAUUGUUACCUCAUCCAGAAUGGAGUGAAGUUUGCAAGCACAAAACCAAAAGAAGGCUUCAUGAAAGUGGCUAUAUUUUAUGUGCCUUUUGAAAUGAGAAAAAUGUGGGACUGCAGGACGGUUGUUGCAGAGAUUAGGGAAGCAUUCAAGGACAGAAUUCCUGAGGAUGUCAGUUUAACAGUUCCGAUUCAGAGGACAGUUGUGUAGAAGUUGACACGUCAUCAGCAAAUGACCACACAGCUACCACUGCCAAUCAGACAUACAACUUUAUGACUACAAGGGCUAGGGGAGCGCAACUUUCAUUAACACAGCAGGUUUCUAGGUAUCCUUUCACAAGGAGAGCCAGAGCGAACCAGCUCUCUGCAUCACAGCAAGGGUCCAGUGGCACCAUGACCAGACCAAACCAGCCCUCUGCAUCACAGCAAGGGUCCAGUGGCACCAUGACCAGAGCGAACCAGCCCUCUGCAUCACAGCAAGGGUCCAGUGGCACCAUGACCAGAGCGAACCAGCCCUCUGCAUCACAGCAAGGGUCCAGUGGCACCAUGACCAGAGCGAACCAGCCCUGUGCAUCACCGCAAGGGUCCAGUGGCACCAUGACCAGAGCGAACCAGCACGUGGAAAAUGUUGCCACUGUUAACCAGAUUCAAUCAGACAACAAUGAUGACUAUGCAACCUACCUUUCGAUCAUGGGCUCCAUCUCAGAUUUGUCUUCUGAUGGCGAGGAAUUAAGCCAAGCUAUCAUGGCCAGUCUCGAGAGUCAUGUGUAAGUGACUGGAUAGUAUGACCUUGUUAAAUGAGUAGAUUUUAUGAGUUAACAACUUCAAGCUAUUCUGCAGCAAUUGAAGUAAAUUAAGUUUUGAAAGUUAAUGCAAAAAAUUAGGGCUGAACGAUUAAUUGCAUUUGCAAUAAUAUCGCGAUAUGUUAAAACCGCAAUUCCCUAAUCGCAAAGGCUGCGAUUUGGUCACGUGGUCAGCUAAUGUUAGAUCCGUUAUAAAGAUAUGGAGUGGAUGAGACUGCCACUGAGAGGGGUAACAACCAGACUCUGAUAAACAAUCUUAGGGGAGCUUUUACAGCAGUGUGUCCGUGGUGUUUCAACGGUUUUAUUAGUAAUAGUUAAAGGAGAAUUCUGUCCAUUUUUUAUGUUAAUCUCGAUCGCUAUAAACAUGCGUGUACUUUCGAUUGAAAAGAAUUCGACCCGAAUCGGUGCAGGCAACACGGAGAAGCUGCAGCUACAUGUAUGAGCUUCCACUGAACCAAAACGGCAGUUGUCGGGGCAAGUUUUAGAGUGCCUUUGUGCCUCUUAACAGACAUAAAAUGCAUUUUGUGUAUAUAUAUAAAACACAUCACCUUUUGAGUGUUAAAGAAGAAAGAGUUCAGAUUUUUUUGAACUUGGACCCUAUUUUACUAUGUUUUUAUGUCUAAGUGACUGAUGGGAAGAACAAUCUUUGACAUUGGUCCAGUAUUUAUUAAGAUCCCUGCAGUAGGCAGUGGCAAAACUAGAUGCAAUGUUAGUUAUUGGGUAAUUGCAUGUUUUGUCACUGACAUGCUCAGAUGAUUAUUCUAAAUCUUUUUCUUAAAGAAUACAUUAUAACAGCCCUGAAAUCACCAUCGCCAAAUUCAGUAAUUUUAACAUUGCAAAAACAAAAUUGUUUUAGUGGACAAAAUUGACUAUGCAAAUUUGCACUAGGGUUACAAAGUCAUAAAUACAUGGGAAUAUAAGGUCUAGGUUGAAAAUUGUUUGUAUUUCACAAACAUCCUACACACCUUUUUGUUUUUUCUUUAAAGGUUCAAGGCACAGUGAUGAAAAGAAAAUCCCAAUGUUGUUACUGUUACAUUAUUCAAUUAAUUACAAAACAACCCAAAUUGUGAUAGCAUGUUAACACUUAGUGUCGGCUGCAUUUUCAGUAUUAGCGUUCACUAAGAACAUUCACUAGAUUUAAAAAUAACUGUAUGCCGUGGUUGCUAUCAUCAAUCAGUGGGUCUACUGUUUCUUGA